UUAGAUAGCUUGUUGCAAGUAGUAAAUAAGUUGGGUUACUUGGUUAAUAUAAUUUUAUAUUGAAGUUCAUGUGAAAAGUAAUGCUAUAUAGUAAUACAACAUAGACCAAAAUAUAGGAGACAUAUGACGAUUAUUAGAACAAGUUGAGUGUGAAACCGUCGUACCAGAUUGCAUGCAAAUAAGGUGAGAAAAUAGCUGGGCAUUAACAACACUGAGCAAUGUAUACAGAAGAGCGAACUGAUGCAGGUUGGGUGAAAAAGUGCUGUGAUCUGGCAUUAAAAGUAUUCUUUAUAAAAGUAGACCAAGAACAUUGAAAAGAACUGUAGAACUAUCCAAAACAAAAUGACAGAGAAGAGCAGAAAACAUGAUAGGAUGCUUGGUUACCAGCACACAUUUUGGUUACCAGUCACAUCUUUCCACCAGCAGUGCACAAGACUUGUAGCUAAAACAAUAAUCAACAAUUGAGCCGAUGUAGUUGUACAUACACACCACAGUAAACACAACACACUGUGGGGACCAUGUAUAUCACAGUAAACAUAAUACAAUGGGGACAGGCUGAUCAGUCAACAGCGAAAAAAAAAAAAAAAUUACAACCACAACUUAAAUCAACAGGGCAGCAUACAGCUACAGCCCUGACAGCCGCUCUAAACGUUAGGCCUCACUAUACCCGGUGUAAGCACGUCCUUAAUAUAAUUGGGACUGUAUCUCAUAUGCUGGCCCUUCUUUUCAGGGUUAGAAAAUACUUCAGCACCAAAAAUUUACUGACACUGGUGAGACUCAUAAUGGAUUAUUGUUCCCUGGGGAGGGGUUAGGGUUAGGAGAGGACUAAAAAAAAAACCCACUUUAAUUUCACAUGAAUUGUUUUGUCAUAUUAUUGAGAGAAGUUACUCUGUAAGAAAUCUUUGCAGAAAGAUAAACUAACAUCCGACUGUUCAAAGAUUUCCUAAGUAACUAAUAGCAACUUCUUUUGAAAUGGAUAAAAUUUGGCAUCAUGACGUUAUCAAGUACCUGCAGGAAAAGGAUUUAGUCCUCAAGAACAUUCAUGUUGACAUUGUUGCUACAUGAGGGGAUAACGCUCUCGCUUUACCAAUUGAGCAAAAGUGGGCAGCUGAAUUUAAGAGGGAUAGGAGAGUCUUGAAGAUGUCACCCAUCAAGGAAAACAUUGACUGUGUUCACCACAUGGUGAUGGAUGACAGACAAUUGACUAUAAACCAAAUAGCCAAUGCUACUAGCAUAUCCUGUGAGAAAAUUGAGGAUAUUCUACACAAUGAACUUAGCAUAACAAAGGCUUCUACCGGAUGGGUACCAUGUCUUAUGACACCUGAUCAAAAGCACACCAGGCUGAUCAUAUCACAGGAAAAUCUGACAUUACAUGCAGUGGAAACUUUCCCUCCUUACCUGCUCUAAAAAAGACCAAGGUUGUUUCCUCAGCAGAGAAGGUACUGAGAAGAUGAGAAAUUUGUUUCUGGACAGGAGGAUACACAGCUACUAUCACAACUACUUUUACUUAAGAGAGAUCAGUACUGCAAGCUAAUAAAUCAUGUGACCAUUUUACAGUGCUACCAUUGGUUGCAACCAUAUAUUGUUCCUUUCAAUGGUGGUCAAUUAGAGCUAAGUAUUAUAACUACAAACAAGCACAACAGAGUUGUAAAGAAACAAUAUAAGUCAUUACUGUGUCAGCUGGUUGCUUAAUAGCCUACUAAUUUUGUCUUUCAGACAUGUUGAUAAUACUUAACUCGGAAUAAAUUCCCCAUGCUAGAACCAGAACUGAAACAAAGCAAAAAAGCAACACACACACACACACACACACACAGACUAAUUAACCUACCUCUA